CUCAGGAAGCGCCCCUGACUGACCCCGGGAAAGGCACCCCACCAGCUGGGACGGGUCAGGAAGGACCCUGCAUCUUUACAGUGAACUGUGGGGCUUCCCCCCACCGAGGACGGGACCGGAGAGGCCGGGGGUCAGGACGGACGUGGACACGGAGAGAUGGGGCGUCCCUGGGACCGAGCGUCCGGUGGCCAUCCUCCUCCCAGGGCGCCUGAAUGCAACGUGGCCUUUUACAAACCUUGGUCAGGUCUAUGCCUGACCCCAUGAGAGGAAGCCCGUCCUCAUCCAUGUUGUCAGCGGGUGGGGGACCAGAGGCUCGCCCACAAAGCCCUCCCAAACCCGGCCCGCCCAACCCGGCAACGAUGUGCCAACACCUCCCCCUGGGCCCACCCCCCAGCGCCCUUCCCACCGGAAGGAAACACCUCCGCCCGCCAAUCACGCGACCGCUCCCGGAGAGCCCGCCUCUUUGCACGGCAUUCUGGGAUUGGUAGUUCAAGUCUGGGCUGUGACGUCAGACGCAAGGCGCGGGGUAGGACCAGACCGCGGCUUUAGCUGUGGGAUCUUAAGAAGGGGGCGGCGCGAGUGGGGUUACCCCUGCUUCCCUCCACCGUCGGGUAAAUAGCUAAGUCGUUCGGUAAUAAAAAGUAUAUACAUUUAAGUAUAUACCUGGGAAGUGUCGGAUGCUCGCCUCGGUCCUGUGGGGAAUGCAGAUACUGAGCCUGCUUGCCCUGAAGGGGUUUCUUUAUGCCCCGAAGGAGGAGACAGAACUGGUUUCCUUAGGGCUUUAGAACGUGAGACACAAAGUCAGACGCUACAAGUGAGGCGUACACUAACGGAGGUGACAGCCGCUUCGAUCGUCGGAAACGUACAACACACAGACCCCGAGACCGAACUUGGCAUCAGGGAUUUGAAGAUGUUGGCUCCCAUGUUAACCGUGCAGCUCCUCACCUGUAGGACCCAGGGCAGCCACCAACCAAUCUUGGAGCCCUUUCUGUGCACCAACCAGGACACCCAGCACUGAAAAGAUGCAGAAAUAGUGGCUCACUUCAGAAAACUUCUAGUUGAGGGCAGACACACGGAGUCCAGAAGUGCUGCAUCUAGACAGAGGUGCUAACAGCGCUGAGAAAGCUGUGCAUCUGCACCCACGUGGGUGUGCGUGGCCCCGUACUUGUAGGUACACCGCAGAUAACAGGUGCUCCUAAAUCUGAGGAAACCGGAGAAGAUAGCCUUUUAGCAGAGCAGUUUGCUUUCUUAAAACAAAACACCAAAGGCUGGAUGUGAUUUCUGGUUAACAGAAAGAAGAGUGGCAGCUUUUCUCUGCCUCCCGGGAUCCCUGGCGAAUACUGUUCAUGAGUCACCUGUGGCUCCUGACAGCAGUGCCCUUCACAGCUUAGUGACUGGAUUGCUGGAUUGCCAGGGCGACCAGAAACAACCGGUGGCUACAAGUCCCAGCCAGCUAGUGGGAAUCUUCUGCCGCGUACCCCUUCCUCCGGGUUUCCAGCAGAGAUGGAUUACAUUCCAUGUGCUGUGGUGCAUUUUGGAGGCAAAACAAGUAGAUUGGAAUCAAUACUGGUUCCAAAGGGCAGAGACUAAAUGUAACACCCACAUGUAUCUAUUCAAUAAAAAAACCUUGAGGAUGUUUCGACAGUGAA